ensembl:lncRNA
CGUCCCUUCUGUCCCCAAUGUCCCCGUCCCUCUGGUCCCCAAUGUCCCCGUCCCUUCUGUCCCCAAUGUCUCCAUCCCUCUGGUCCCCAAUGUCCCCAUCUCCUCUGUGCCCAAUGUCCUCGUCCCUUCUGUCCCCAGUGUCCCCGUGCCUCCGGUCCCCAAUGUCCCCGUCUCCUCUGUGCCCAAUGUCCCCAUUCCUCUGGUCCCCAAUGUCCCCGUCCCUUCUGUCCCCAAUGUCUCCAUCCCUCUGGUCCCCAAUGUCUCCAUCCCUCUGGUCCCCAAUGUCCCCGGCCCUUCUGUCCCCAAUGUCCCCAUUCCUCUGGUCCCUAAUGUCCCCGUCCCUUCUGUCCCCAGUGUCCCCAUCCCUCUGGUCCCCAAUGUCCCCAUCCCUUCUGUCCCCAAUGUCCCUGUCACUUCUGUCCCCAAUGUCCCCGUCACUUCUGUCCCCAAUGUCCCCAUCCCUCUGGUCCCCAAUGUCCCCGUCCCUAUUGUCCCCAGUGUCCUUGUCCCUUCUGGCCCCAAAGUCCUCGUCCCUUCUGUCCCCAAUGUCCCCUGUGUCCCAUCUUCACCCUGUUCCUCUGGUCCUUGGUGUCCUCAACCCAUGUCCCUGUCCCCACUGUCUCCAAUGUCCCCCUUACGCACAAUGUCCCCAAUGUCCCCAGCAUCCCCAGUGUUCCCAAUGCCCCACAAUGUCCCCAUCACCCACAAUGUCCCCAAUGUCCCCUAUGUCCCCAAUGUCCCCAGCACCUCUGAUGUCCCCAGCAUCCCCAUCAUCCCCAAUGUCCCCAGUGUCCCCAUCACCCCCAAUGUCCCCCAAUGUCCCCAAUGUCCCCAAUGUCCCCAUCACCCCCAAUGUCCCCAGUGUCCCCACCAUCCCCGCUGUCCCCGUUACCCACGCUGUCCCCCAUUGCCCCCAUUCCCCCCAACGCCCCCAGCGACGUCCCCGCGCCAUCAGCUGUCCCCUCGUCACAGCGCCCAGCCCAGGGCUGUGCCGGCGUCGCCCGGGUGCUGCCACAUCUCUGGCCCCACCCCGGGGGGCCUCGGCCGGCCCCCCCCGGGGACAUUGGGGACACGGGGACGGCCCUGUCCCCGCGGGGGUGGCUGUGUGUCGGUGCGAGGGGGACGCGGCCCUCGCCCGCUCCCCAGGAAAACCGACGGCGACGGCGCUCGGCUGAGUAAGGGCUCAUCACGCGGCACGGGGACAACGGGGGGACAAGAUGGGACAGAUGGGGACAUGGGGGGGUCAGAGGGGGACACCAAGAGGCGGGGACUGCAGGACACGUGGGGACAGGGGGACAUGAGUGGGGACACAGAGGGGGACACGCGGGUGGAGGGAGAUGGGGGGGGACUUGGGGACACGGGUGGGGACAGAAGUGGGGACAGGGAGACGUGAAAGGUGGCAGGGGGACAAGGAAGAGGACUUGGGGACACAAAGACAUGGGGACACACAUGGGGACAUGGGGACACACAAGGACACACGAGGACACGGGGACUCACAAGGACACGGGGACUCACAAGGACACGGGGACACAGAUGGGGACACACAGAGGGACAUGGGGACAUACAUGAGGACAUAGAGGGGACAUGGGGACACAGGGACACACAGGGAUGCAGGGACACACGUGGGGACACACGUGGGGACAUGGGAUCACACACGAGGACGCACGUGAGGACACAGGGACGUGGGGACGGACACGGGGACACGAGGACACGGGGACACACGAGGACACAGGAUCACACACGAGGGCACAGAGGAGGAAAUGGGGACAAAGGGACGCACACGGGGACACACGUGGGGACAUGGGGGCACACAUGGGGACAGAGGGACAAGGGGACACACGGAUGCAGGGACACACACAAGAGAACACGAGGGACACGUGAGGACACGCAAGGGGACACACAUGAAAACACAGGAGGACAUGGGAUCGCACACAAGGACACGCAAGGAUGCAGGAGCACACGUGGGGACACACGUGGGGACACAGACACACACGAGGGUACAAGGACACGGGGACACGCAAUGGGACACGGGGACAAAGGGACACACGUGGGGACACACAUGAGGAUGUGAGGACACAAAGACAUGGAGACACACACAAGGACACGGGAUCACAUGCGAGGACACAGGGACACACUGAGGACACGGGAUUACACGCAAGGACACGGGAUGACACA